rnacentral:rRNA from 1 species
CGUGUUUCGGCACGAGUUGUAAAUUGCAGGUUGGAGUCUUUGUGGAAGCGUGUGUCCAAGUCCCUUGGAACAGGGCGCCAUUGAGGGUGAGAGCCCCGUGGGAUGCGCGCGGAAGCAACAAGGCCCUUCUGACGAGUCGAGUUGUUUGGGAAUGCAGCUCUAAGCGGGUGGUAAAUUCCAUCUAAGGCUAAAUACUGGCGAGAGACCGAUAGCGAACAAGUACUGUGAAGGAAAGAUGAAAAGCACUUUGAAAAGAGAGUGAAACAGCACGUGAAAUUGUUGAAAGGGAAGGGUAUUGGGCCCGACAUGGGGAUUGCGCAUCUCUGCUCCUUGUGGGCGGGGCGCUGUGCUUUUCCUGGGCCAGCAUCGGUUUUUGCCGCAGGAGAAGGGGUACUGGAAUGUGGCUCCUCGGAGUGUUAUAGCCAGUGCCAGAUGCUGCGUGCGGGGACCGAGGGCUGCGACAUCUGUCUCGGAUGCUGGCACAACGGCGCAAUACCGCCCGUCUU